UACGUAGGUGGCGAGCGUUGUCCGGAUUUACUGGGCGUAAAGGGCGUGCAGGCGGUUUGUUAAGUGCAGAGUGAAAGCUCCCGGCUCAACUGGGAGAGGUCUUUGCAUACUGGCAAACUCGAGGGAGGCAGAGGAAAGUGGAAUUCCCGGUGUAGUGGUGAUAUGCGUAGAUAUCGGGAGGAACACCUGUGGCGAAGGCGGCUUUCUGGCCUGUUCUUGACGCUGAGGCGCGAAAGCUAGGGGAGCAAACGGG
rnacentral:rRNA from 1 species